AAAAAGUCAUUUUUGACGCUUAUCGUCUCUAAAUUGACUAGCCCUGAUCUACGGGCGUUACAAUUAUCUCCCCCUUAGGAUGAUUACGUCCCGGAAUCAUCAACGAAAUAGGAUUCGUAUACUGACUCCAUAAGUUAUCUCUCCAUCCUAAGUAAUAACCUUGAUGCUCAAUCCUGCAUCUGCUCUUCGUACUACGUUGGACUUUAGAUCGACAUCUUUAAGUUACAAAAUAAAUCCUUAUUGUGGACUCCUUCUUCUUCUAAGGAUAAAUACAUUCAUUUAUCUAUUGUAACUAACCGAUGGGUCGUGUCCCGAUGACCUCUCAUCGUAGUCGGACUCAAUUUAAUAUGACCACUAGGGUCGGAAUAACCAUCAUCCUACUAGCCAUUACCGAAACAAGGGUAAUGACACACUUGAAUAAAAAGAAAUCAAUUACUAGCUUCUUGGUAACCUUGUGACUUUCCCUGAUCCAAGCGUGAGUCCUGUGCUUCCGGUAGUAUAGAUCUCUACUACCAUUCACACCUACUCAUACUCGUCCCAAGCAUUGUCUCGCAGUUAACCAAGUCACCAUACAUAAAUCAUAUAAUCAUUCAACACAUCAGAUAACAAAACCAGGGUUUAUAUUAAUUCUUGAAACUAUUACACAAAAGUUCAAGUUCACCCUAUACUAUGCCUCUAACAGGCUAUGCUUCCUGAUACAAACUUUAUAUAUUAAUAUGAAGUCUUCAUCUUUUAAUCCUCCCAUCCUUUUCUGCUUCGUUGAGGAACAUGUUGAAUGCCUUUGGCUGUGGAGGUGUGUUUUUCUUUGGGCAUUCUUUAGAAAUAUGCCCUUCUUCGUUACAUCUAUAGCACGCCUUCUUGAUAGGUGCGCACUUGUUGGCGUAGUGCCCUGUCUUCCCAUAUUUGUAGCAAGUCAUCUUCUCGCUACAUUUCCCGAAGUGUUUCUUCUUACACUUCUCACACCACUUAGCUUCAUCUCUUCCCUCAGAUUUCGAGAAUUUGCUUUCUUUGUCGAUUAAUGAAGAUCCUUCACGCUUCCUUUUCUCUCCAACUUCAGCUCUUUCCAGACCCUUUUCUUUUAUUUGGGUCUCAACAUUCUUGGCUUCCCAGAUGGCGGCUUUCAGAGUGGUUUCUUGCUUGACUAUCAGACCAAAGUUUGCUGGUAAUCCCUUGGCAAACUUGUUGACCUUGGAAAGUUCAGUUGGAAUUAGGUAUGGAAUAAGCUUCAUCAUCUCCGUAAAGCUCGUAGCGUAUUCAGUAACGCUCAAUUUUCCUUUCUUCAAAUUCUGGAACUCAUUGUUGAUUUCCAGAAGAUCUUGCUCAGAGCAGUAUUGCAUUUUCAGUUGCACCACGAACUCUUCCCAAGACAUCUUGCUAGCUUCCCCCUUGGGCAUCGAACCAGCCAGUAACUUCCACCAGCUCAAUACUCCAGAUUUUAACAGAGGGAUUGCAAGAGCGGUCUUCUGUCUGUUGCUACACUCGCAACUUUCAAACAUUGUCUCCAUCUCGGAGAUCCAGUCCAUGACUUGCACCGGUGUCGGGCUCCCAGAAAGACAUGGUGGUUUGGAUGCCAUGAAAUCCUUGUACUUGCAUCCACGUCCAUCAUUGCCUCCAUCAUGAUUGUUUCGACGAACUAUUGGUGGGUUGGCUUGACCAAUGGUCCCACUAUUGUUCCCUUCUUCUGACUGCCCCUCAUUCAGCUCAGGCUGUUCAACUGGUAUUGAGGGUUCACUCCUAUUGUUCAGCAGCAAUUGUCUCAUUUCCUCCUUUUGUUCAGCCAUCAUGGCCUGAAUCAUGGUUCGCACUCCAGCCAUUGUGAUUGGUUCAGGUGUUGCUGCUACCACAGCCACUCGCUCAACCACAGGUGGUUGAUUCCUGUUUUCAUUCACGUUUCCAGCUCUACUCCUGGUUCUUGUCAUUCUGAUCUAUACACCGAAGAAGGUGAAAUUAGAUCCUUAUUCACGAUAGAUAUUCAAAUCAUCCUUAUCACUCCGAAACGUUUACAUGCUAGUUCUAAUAUCGUAGACGCACGCUUAGAAUCCUAAACACAUAAGGUUUCCAGAUCCGGUCGGCAACAGACCAUAGAUCCGAACAAUUAACAUCAUAUAUGGCAAACAUAUAACAAUUAGCACAUAAUAGCAUUUUAGGCAAUUUUCCUAAAAUAAACUAGUGCCUGUGUCAAUUUAGGUGUACUACCUAAAAUAUAAUGGACACACUCAACUCACAAUCAUUGCUUAGCAUUCUAAGUUUAAGUCUAGAAAUAAAUCCAUAUUCCUAGUUCGCUUAAACUAAUGCUCUGAUACCAACUGUGACAUCCCCAAUUUCACGGCCAGAAAAGACCGAUUUGUUUAUGCUUUUUUUUUAAAAUCAGAGUAAUCGUUUAAAGAAAACUGUUGCGGAAUUUGUUCCCAAAAACAAAAAUAUGAUAACCAUUUAUCCAAACAUUUCUCAAAGAGAAUGUAUUUUCAUUAAAUAAUAAAACCUUGGGAUGUCAUGUUCGAUACAGACCAAAAGCAUAAACAAUAUAAAAUAGACCUUACAAUAGUUAUUUAUAACUACUGAUCUAUAAUCCAAAAUCUCUCGUCAAGUCCACCAACUUAUACCCUUGUGCCAUUACCUGUAAUGAAAAGAAAACUGAGUGGGUCAGGCUUGGGAGCCUGGUGAGCAUAUAGGGUUUUCAACCCACAAUAAUAUAAUUAUUAUAUUUAAUCAGCAAACAAUCAACCCAAUUACCCAUCCCCAUUAUCUUCUUAAGGUUUUACCCUAAGAACCAACUAUCCUUCAUUCAUUUAUUCGUAAGGAAUUGGCACGAAUUCCAUUGCUGCCAAAGUUUAUUUAUCAAGUACUAAAUCCAUAGUUAUCAGGCGCUAACUCCAUAGUCACCAAGGUUCACUUAACAAGCGCUAACUCCAUAGUCGCCAAGGUUUACUCAACAAGCGCUAACUCCAUAGUCGCCAAGGUUUACUCAACAAGCGCUAACUCCAUAGUCGCCAAGGUUCAUCAAAUAGGCACGAAGUCACAUCGUCGCCAAGGUUUAUACAAUAGGCGCUAACUCCAUAGUCACCAACUAUCCCAUCUACCCAUGUUCUACCCAACAUUUUCGUAGAUAUAAAUACUUACACAGUUUAAAUCAUUUAACACCUGUAUAAAACUCCAAUUUCCAUGCCCAUCUCAAAUAGACAAAUAACAUAUAAACACAUAGCACGUAUUUCAUAGCAAAUACUUCAUAUUUAUGUGUUAGAAGAAAGUAACUACACACUCACACAUAUAAACAACAAUAUACUUAAUACACUCAAACCAUACUUGUAUUAUUAUCGUGUUUAUGAAAGGUAGUAUACACUCACUUGAUCAGAAGAUGAUCGGACAGCACUACGGCUUGCAGAAGUAGUAUAUCUCCGCAGAUCUGGAAGAUCUUCACAAAAAUUGAACUUCUCGCGGGCAGAGCUUCGGCUCGGGAAUCACGCUCUUCGGGAUUCUCGGGGCUUCGGAUCUUGCUUCGGGACUCGGGAUUGAUACCGGGGCUUCGGGACACUUCGGGCACGCAAAACGAUGCAAAACGGGAGAGAGAAGAGAGAAAAAGAGCAAAUGAGCCGGCUGCCCUCGCAUCCUAUUUAUAGGAGGCUGGAGCCUCGGAGUACGCGGGGCGUACGCGUCCGAAACGUCACUGCAUGCGUCAUCCGAAGAACUCGAGUGCGAAGGUCGUCAUACUUCGCUGUACGCGGGGCGUACUUCGGAUGAGUCCGAUGACUCGUCUUCGGAUAAUACCGGGAUUUAAUAAUUAAAUUUAAUUAUUAAUUAUUUAAUAAACUUCGAAAAUUCAUAUCUUCUUCAUACGAACUCCGUUUUCGACGUUCUUUAUAUCCACGCGUAGGUGAGACUACGCUCUACGACUUUCGUUUAGACUCCGUCGGCUAAUUUUGACUUUUAUUUUUAUUAUUUAUUUUUAAUAGGCCGGGACAAAAAAUUUCGUUAUAAAUUCAUAACUUCUUCGUUUGACGUCCGUUCUUGCCUAACUUUUCAUCGUUUCGCUACUAACAACGAGAUCUUCAAUUCUCGUUUAGAUCGCUACGAUUAAAUCUCACUCUAACGUAAAUUCACUUUUUACGUCAUUCAGCGUUGUGUCGGUUUUGUCGCGAAACUUCAACAAGUCAUAACUUCUUCGUUAUAACUCGGAUUUUGGCAUUCUUUAUAUGUACGGAAUCCUUGUAAAAUACACUACGACUUAGUUAGGAUUAUUCAUCCUAAAUAAUCUUCUAUCAAAAAGUCAUUUUUGACGCUUAUCGUCUCUAAAUUGACUAGCCCUGAUCUACGGGCGUUACAACUAUCUCCCCCUUAGGAUGAUUACGUCUCGGAAUCAUCAACGAAAUAGGAUUCGUAUACUGACUCCAUAAGUUAUCUCUCCAUCCUAAGUAAUAACCUUGAUGCUCAAUCCUGCAUCUACUCUUCGUACUAUGUUGGACUUUCGAUCGACAUCUUUAAGUUACAAAAUAAAUCCUUAUUGUGGACUCCUUCUUCUUCUAAGGAUAAAUACAUUCAUUUAUCUAUUGUAACUAACCGAUGGGUCGUGUCUCGAUGACCUCUCAUCGUGGUCGGACUCAAUUUAAUAUGACCACUAGGGUCGGAAUAACCAUCAUCCUACUAGCCAUUACCGAAACAAGGGUAAUGACAAACUUGAAUAAAACGAAAUCAAUUACUAGCUUCU
rnacentral:lncRNA from 1 species